ACGGGGUAGGACAAUCUCGGUAACGUACCCUUCGGACGGGGAUAGCCACGGGAAACUGUGGGUAAUACCCGAUGAUCUGGCGAGCGUUUAGGGCUCGUCAGCAAAGGUGAGAUUCCACCGGAGGAGCGGCUGAGACGCUAUUAGCUUGUUGGUGAGGUAACGGCUCACCAAGGCGACGAUGGCUAGGGGGUGUGAGAGCACGGCCCCCACCACUGGCACUGAGACACUGGCCAGACACCUACGGGUGGCUGCAGUCGAGAAUCUUCGGCAAUGGGCGCAAGCCUGACCGAGCGACGCCGCGCGCGGGAUGAAGGUCUUCGGAUUGUAAACCGCUGUCGGAGGGGAUGAAGUGUAUGGGAGCUAUCUCCUGUAUUUGACAGAGCCUCGGAGGAAGCACGGGCUAAGUUCGUGCCAGCAGCCGCGGUAAUACGAACUGUGCAAACGUUAUUCGGAAUCACUGGGCUUAAAGGGUGCGUAGGCGGUCGCCCCAGUCAGGUGUGAAAUCCCCCGGCUCAACCGGGGAACAGCGCUUGAAACUAGGUGACUUGAGUGAGGUAAGGGUACGCGGAACUUCUGGUGGAGCGGUGAAAUGU
rnacentral:rRNA from 1 species